AGUUUGGCCGCCCCCCACGCACACACCCACUUUCUUGCCUCCAGGCCGAGUGGGGGGCCGCCGGGCGCCCCGGUUUGCGGCGCAGGGCUCCGCGCCCGGACCCAAGGCGCUGUGGUCUCCCACCUCCCACUCAUCCUCUAUCGGCCUUCUGGGCUCCGAGGUCUGCAAAGCCCGCAAAACGGGUCGGCUCAUUCCCUCCGUGACGUCACUGCUUCCCUGCCGCGGCGGACGGGGCCGUGGUACCUGUCGGCCGAGGUCUGUGCCAGCUACAAUGGAGGCGAGAACGGUCACUGCUGACUUUCGUCGGAGUUCUCAGCGAAGAGGAUCGCGAAGCUUCAACCCCCCGGGAAGGGAACUGCAGAACCUACCUCUGCAUUGUAUGCCGAGCAGGUGCUGCUUGCCAAACCAUGAAGAACUCAACGAAGACAGUGGCAAUGGGAAUUAAAGGAGUUCUCUAAGAAAGGCGCAUAAGAUUAAAGCCCCAUCAGGUCCAGGGGUUCCCAAAGGUGUGGACGGAGUCAGCGAAGAAGGAUGGACAUGGAGGCAGCGUUCAAUUGAUCAGCAUACUAGCCAGGUUCUCUCGCCAGGUGUUCUAGCCAGGUUCUCUCUUUAUUGUCCUGUUACAUCUGUAUUUAUACCAUUUGAUCCUAUAAGCAUGCUUCUAUAAUCACAUCAUGGUAUGUUUUGGGUCCUCCCUUGACCUACAUUUCCUUGUUUCAUGUCCAUAGUUUCUUAUCUGACCUUUGCCAAAAAUCCCAUCUCCACCUAGUUCUGUUGAUUUUAAUCCUAUCCAUUCUAUUCCAAAGGUUAGGGCGUUUGUUAUCUCCAUUCCAAGGUCACUACUCUACUGUUCUGUUAAGCUACAAGGAAGUAACUGAAGGAGAUUAUCCUAAAUAAAGAUUAUGUAGCUUAAGCCUGGCACUUAGUUAAGGGGUUUUACUGAUUUAUUCCCUUCCUUAGUCCUGUUAAUCCCUAACUCCAGGGAAAAAUCCCCACCUGGGGAAACAACCUUUCUUGGAGAGGUGACCUUGGUUAAAACACACAGUGCUAAGAAGGGGAGCAAACAUAAUAAGAACAGUAUGCCAUAUACACCAGGUCCCUUGAAACAUAUGCUGUGCAGAUGUUUCUUCCCUGCAGCGACUGUGUCAAGCAGCAAGGAUGGACCGGCUUCCGGCACCUUCCUCUCUGAAAUCAAUAAAAAUAUUUAAAAGAAAAAAACACCAGAGAAAUAGAAGCAAAAGAAAAAAGGUAUUAUUUGUGCUGAGCACAUAUAUAUAAUAAAUCUACAUUCAUCUUACCUCCCAUGUUUUCUAAUCCAUUUGUCAUAGUUUCUUUAAUCUGUAAAUCAAAAUAGCUAUACUUAGUAUUCUUUAGACUUCAAUGUUUCUAGUUAAUAAUUUUCAUGUUUGCAAAAGACAGCAAUACUGUUUAGCACUUUCUGUCUAAAAAUAGAUAUUCUUAAUUUCAUGUAGGUAACCCAAAAAGGUUUCCUAUCAAUUAACUUUUUAAAAUAAAAUCCUAUUUUCCCAUUGUCUAAUCUUCCACUGGUAACAGCACAAGCUAUAUACCCUCUUUUCCAAAAGUACAUAAGCAUACACACAUAAACUUUGCCUAUAAUUUGCAGGUUUUAAGAACAUGCUAGGUCAGGGUCUCUGGACCCCAGAUUAAUAACUCCUGAUUUUAAAGCAAAGAGAAGAGAUAUAUCAGAAUGUCCUGGGAGGGCAGGAGAGACAUAUGGUAGUGGAGAGGUGGGGGUACUAGGUGGUCUUAUAAGAUUUUUGAGGAAGCACAGCUUCUAACACAUUGUAGAAUUCCAUAUUAAUAUUUGUUAAAUUAAUGAGUAUUAAAAUUUAGGAAGGAAAAUCUAUUGAUCUUACAACAUAAUCUAAGAAAAGUAUAAGGUUAAUAAAACUUCAGGUAAAGGGAAUAAUAAGAAAGGGCUUCUCAACCAGGAGGUUAUAUCGCCUGGGAGGCAAAGUUAAUUUAUAAUAUCCAGUACACUUCCCUUUUGUAGGAAUUUUUAUUAUGAAACUAGUACAUUGCUAUAAUAAAUUCAAAAGCAUGUCAAAUAGCAGGAAGAAUGCUAUUGAUAAAGAAUAGAAGCAAAUUCUACCUUUAGCUUUCCUUCUUUAAACCAUUGACUCAGCUGUAGAAUACCAGACUCAAAUUUGUCCUUAUAAUUUAACACCAUAAAUCUUUCUCUGUAUUGGGAAAGAAAAGAAUAAUGAUCAGAGACCAGUGGGGGAAUAAAAGAGUCCAAAAUGAAAUCAUUCUACAUCUCUAUUAUGUGUUAAUAUUUCAAACAUUAGGACUUAAUCACAGAGUCUGGCCAGAUAGAGUUUUAGGUGUAGAGACAGGGAUAAGUGCAGUGGAGUUCUAUUGUUUUGUCUACCCAGCAUUUAUGACACCGUUUGGUAAUAGCUCUAUGAUUUUACUUUGUGGGUAACAUCCUUUCCCUACCCUAUGUGACCAAAGCCAAGCCAGUAUGAGCUAUAAAGUAUCAGUGUUGGGACUUGAUAAAACUGCAAGAAGAAAGCUGUUCUCUUUUUACUUGGAUUGCUAACCUGGUAAAAUGUAAGACUAGAGAUAACAGCCAUCCUCCUGCUGCUGCAAGAGGAGAGCCUGGGAGGGAGCACAGCCCAGAGGUGGAGAAAAACAGUCGUGAUGCCACUAUACAAACCCUUUAUCCAGCCAGAGCUCAGCCAGUACUGUACUAAUAUUGGACUUCUCAAUACAUGAGCCAAUAAAUUUCCUUUGUACUUAAGCCAAUGUGAUUGAGUUUCU